CUAACUACACAAAUUGAAUACAGCUAUAAGGAAAUUUUUGCCAUGUGUCAAUCACACAGGGCUGCAGACGAAAUCCUAGCUGGACAAAAUGACAAAAAGUUUACUUCUUCUGGCACCAUUUUGAAUCCUUUUUUCCCUCCUUCAAGUUCCUUACAAAUGGGCCAAAAAACAUCAGUCCAUUGCUGCUUGGCCCAACAUAACCCAGAUGGUUUAUUGCAUUUACUUGAGGCCAAAAAAACAAAAGAACUUCAUGCUUCAGAAGGAGCUUGACCCGUCCCUUUCAUCUGUCUCUCUCAAGCCAAAUAUUGCAGAGAUGAUGCUGCUAAUACUGUUGUUUUCUGAAUCAGUUUCAAAAUUCAAAAUUCAAUUUCUCCCACUCUUUUUCAAUAUCAUGAGUCACUUUCUUUCUUAGUUUUCAAUUCUUCUCUCUUCAGCUUUCUCUCUUUCUCUCCCUCUUCUUUCAGUUUCCUUGAAGCUCCUCACGCCUCCUUCACAUAAAGGGAAAAGAGCAUGAUCGAUUGAAUCACAAAUUAGAGUCGUACCCUCCGACCUGUUUGAAGAAACGGUUUCAAGAACCAUCAAACGACAUCGUGUGGUGUUUUCUUCAGCUUCUUAAAGUAGAAAGGUUCACAAAUUAGGGUUUGAUUGGAGCUUCCCAAACAGCAAGACUUUAUAUAAGCCACUACUUUGCAGUUGAAUAAAAUCAGAACAUUGCCUUCUUUUUCAUUCAUCAAUUUCAUCAAAUCGUUGGUGCUGUUAAGAGUUAUUGAUGGAUUUGGUGGUAGAUCUAUGUUUUCUCUCAUUCAACUCAUGGCUUUGGAGUAUUGUUUUUCACUGAGCUAUGUAGAAACUUGAAAAUGCAUAACACACACAGUGGAAUACUAGAGCAAAUGCAUUUCUCUUUCUUCUAACCAAGUAUUUCUUUCAAGAGGUUUUGAGUGAAAAUGCAGAACACAAUGGCUUUGGAGUAUUGUUUUUCACGAUGGCAGAAGCAAAAAAAGUUUAUUCUGAAGUGGUUCAACUUCUUGGCAGAUGACCAAGUUCUUUAUGUGGUGGCGUAUGUGAUAUCUCAAUACUAGCAGUUUGCAAUUGAUUGAGAUAUGGGUUUGAACCAUUCAUUUGUAGUUUCAUAGAAAAAGCAACAAGAUAGCUUCAUGAAUAUAACCCUUAAAGAGGAGGCAAAGAAGAAAGUUCAAUUGAUGUAUCUUAUUUGGUUCUAUCUACUCAGUAGCCACAUGAGGAAAAAAGGAGAAUAUAUGCAGAUUAAGAAAGUUUUAUAGGAAAAAAAGAGAAUAUAUGCAGAUUAAGAAAGUUCAUUGUGGGUGGAUUUAAAUCGAAUUCUACACACUCUACAUUUGUCAAGUUCUAUACAUAAGAGCAGGAAAAGUUUAUCAUGAAGAGGUUGAACUUUUUGGGAGAUGACCAAGUUUUUAUAUGGUGGCUUCUGUGAUAUCUCAAUAGGAUAUAUCUUCACUUUAAAUUCAUGUCAUAUUGUAUAAUUAAGGGAAAAUUACAAUGACCUCCCCUAAAUUCUAUUGUAAUGACAAAAACACUCCCUCUAAGUUUUUAAUAGGCACAAACCUCCCCUAAAGUCUAUUGAAAUAGACAAACACCUCAACUUUAAACUUACACCGUUUAUUAAUCUGUUGAUUUUAUUAUGAUGAUAAUCUUCCUCCACUGAACCCUUGAAUAUCGUACCAUUGUUGUAACCUUCUCAAAUCAUUUUUCCUAUUUUAACUCUACUAUUAUUAGU